AUCCUAAUCAUUUUCCUAGCCCUCUGGGUUUCUUUCCUCUCAUACCUGAUCUCACACAGUACCUGACCCGUCCUGCAGGUCCAGUUAUUCAGGGUCCCGAAGAGGCGCUACCUGAGGGUAAAGGGGGGGAGA
rnacentral:sRNA from 1 species